rnacentral:lncRNA from 1 species
GGCUGCGUAGGAGCCGCCGCCGGGGCCGCCUCUGGGGCCGCGCUGCCGCAGCGGCUGAGCCUCCACCUGGACUAGCCCGGGCUGCUUGUUUUGUCUCUGAAAUUGACAAGGACGCAGGGAAUCCGCUGCUAAAUAACGUUUCUGGUAACUUUCACGUUCUUCCUCCUACCCUCCGCUGCCUGCCGCCCGGGGAAGGGACUCGCCCUUAGUCUUCCCUCGCCUUCGCGUUGGCGUCCACGUCCUGGUUAUUAGCGUUUUUCUUUUUUUAUUUUGUUUCAUUUCGCCUUUUGAUUUAUUGGAUCCUCCGGCGGAGGCGGUGAGGGGUGGGAUCGGGGCUUCCUCCUCGCGUUCUCUGCCCUUCUCCCCGGGGAGCUCGCUAUGGCUCUGCACCCUGCGGAGGGAGCGGGGCCUCCCCGCGGCCCCCUGCAUCCCCGGCCACGCCGCCUCCUCUUUCUCCUCUAAAAGCUCCUCUUGGGUCGUUCUGUUUCCUGUAGGAUUUUAAAACAACCCCCCUCCCCGUAACUUUCAACUCCGUUGUUUCGCCUGGUUUGGUUUCUUGUGUGUUCAACUUGUGCUGGGUACUUUUGUCUUUUCUGACUUGGUUUUUAUCUUUCUCUUUCUCUCUCUCUCCCUUCCAUCUCUGCCCCAUUCCACUCCUGGCUUCGCUUUCUUUCCCUUGCUUCCUUUUCUUUUUCCUCGCUCUGCUCUCUCUCACCUCUGCGCCCCCUCCUCCUGGCCGGCUCUGACAGUAGAUCCCUUUACGGAGGGAUGGACGGAGUAGGGGCUCCCGCUUCCAUGUAUGAGACCCUGAAGCGCCUCGGCCGAUCCCUCCAGUUUACCACCUGAACCACGGGCCGCCGCUUCACGCCACGCAGCACUACCGCACCCAAAUGUCAUGCCGGCCAGCAUGGGAUCCGCUAUCAACGAAUUGAAGCGAUCUAUGAUACAAGCAAUACAAGUACUAAGGUUUCAUCUUUUGGAGUUAGAAAAGGUCCACGAACUGUGUGCUAACUUCUGCCACUGGUACCUUAGCUGUUUGAAGGGAAAAUGCCCAUUGAUCUUGCCAUUGAUGAAAGGGACGGCAGCUCCAAGUCAGACCACGAACUGUCAGGCUCCUCCACAAAUCUCGCUGACCAUGUACAUCUUGGAGCCUUUGGCGUUCUUUUAAAGCCAAAGGGUAAGACGGGUAAAACGGGGUAAAACAUUUUUUCAAAAACUUGUUUUAACAUGUAGUUCCACUAAUUUAGUUUUCUUGUUUGUUUUAAUGAUUUGGUCUCUUCAGGGGCUUUUCUCUACUUCUCUCACUACUGUUAUCAUACACUUCAUCUCCCUUUUCUUGGAUCCCUCCUUAUUUAUGCUGAGAGCCAAAAUAAUAAUAAUAAUGAUAAUAAUAAUAACAACAAAACACAGAAAACAAACCAGGGAGUUGAUAGAAUGAUUUGUUCUCUUAAUGUGUAAAGUUUCCUGGAUUUGGUGACUUGGGUGUUAGCAAAUUCUUUCUUUUGAUAUCAUGUCCAUUGUUUGUUUCUGGUUUCUCAACUCUGUAUACAUAAUCAGUGCAGCAGGGAUAGAAAGAGGCAAGAUAGCAGGACAAGACCUGGGAGGGGGGUGGCAGAAGGAGAGAAUUAGGGGAGAGGGAGUGAGGACUGAUUUCCCAGUCUCUCCCAGAGAUGAAAAUCCUGAGAAUUAUUGGCAAUUUUGCACUGCAUUAGAAAUAAAAGGAGUGAAUGAACACAUUACAAUUCUCAGGGCUUUUGCUCUAUAGAAACUUAUUGUCAGAAUAUAGACUUAUUGCCAAGUGCCUGAAGCAUCUUCACAAUAAAAGACAGUAACCUUGAUGAACCAAUUAUUAACAAUGUAUUACAGAAAGCUGAAGGGAAUUAUGAUGGAGUAACCAUAGGUUAGUGGUUGAGUUUUAACACUUUAACAGUUGGUGAAUGAGGACGGAGAGUAUAGUAAGGAAUGACUAUGUAUGUCAAGCCAGGAAAGGAGAUUUCUUUCUAUUCUCUCUGUUUUUAAUCCUAUUUUGGAACCGAUCUAGUGAGUCUGAUGCUUUAAAAAAAAAAAAGCAUAUGUAGUGAGACUGAAAAUUUGAAAAAGAAGCAAAGAGAAGAAAGAUUGCAGCUGGUAGGAAAGGCAAGAGUGGUGAGGUUAAAGAGAGGGUGUGAACAGCAGUUUAUUUAUAGGAACUCAGGCCUGGGGGUGGGGGACAGGGGGUCUGUACAUUGAGUUGAGCUCAGAGCCUAAACUCUUUUUAAUCCUAUUUUGGAACCGAUCUAGUGAGUCUGAUGCUUUAAAAAAAAAAAAAAAAGCAUAUGUAGUGAGACGGAAAAUUUGAAAAAGAAGCAAAGAGAAGAAAGAUUGCAGCUGGUAGGAAAGGCAAGAGUGGUGAGGUUAAAGAGAG